GACGAACGCUGGCGGCGUGCCUAACACAUGCAAGUCGAGCGGGGUUGAGGCGAGAGGUAACUCGAGCUUCUACCUAGCGGCGGACGGGUGAGUAACGCGUGGGCAACCUGCCUCAAGGUUUGGGAUAACAGCCCGAAAGGGCUGCUAAUACCGGAUAUGCCUAUGGCCUCGCAUGGGGCUAUGAGCAAAGGGGAAACCCGCCUUGAGAUGGGCCCGCGUCCCAUCAGCUAGUUGGUGAGGUAACAGCUCACCAAGGCGACGACGGGUAGCCGGCCUGAGAGGGUGACCGGCCACACUGGGACUGAGACACGGCCCAGACUCCUACGGGGGGCAGCAGUGGGGGAUCUUGCACAAUGGGCGAAAGCCUGAUGCAGCGACGCCGCGUGAGCGAAGAAGGCCUUCGGGUUGUAAGCUCUGUCUGGAGGGACGAACAAAAUGACGGUACCUCCGGAGGAAGCCACGGCUAACUACGUGCCAGCAGCCGCGGUAAAUCACGUGUA
rnacentral:rRNA from 1 species